ensembl:lncRNA
AUCCAGACUGUAUCACAACCAGCCAUGAUUGGGAGUCCCAUAGGGCGGCGCACAAUUGGCCUAGCGUCAUCCGAGUUUGGCCGGUGUAGGCCAUCAUUGUAAAUCAUAUUUUUUUGUUAAAUGACUUGCCUAGUUAAAUAAUGGUUAAAUAAAAAUAAAUAUGACCAUGGUUUGUUUUCAUUUGGCCUAUUUAGCAUAGCCCUGUUUUGCCCUGCCUUGCCCCCUUGUGGAGCUCCAAAGUUACUGUUAUAAUUCAAAUUGGUGAUUUUCUCAAUGCAAAAUACAAUUUUUAUAACAGUGUUUAUGUUACUUCUUUGUACUAUUGUUUUAUUGCUAUAUCCUUAUAUUGUAUUCUAAUUACUAAUAAUUCCUCUUUAUUCUGUACUUUCAGUAACCAUAAACAGUAUUUUCCAGUAUCAUAACUGGAGCUGGACAUCUUUCGAGCUGAAGAUUGAGGCCAGCUUUUGUAUGCUAGUGUACACUCAACAGAUUUACUGGAUGAAAACACAGCAAGAAAACACAUAGAUGACUAUUACAUAUUGGCCUAUUUUAUUGCAGUAUUGGUGGUGGUUUGUUGAACAACAACAAAAACGUGUUUCACUAGAGGAAAAAAAACUGAAUAUGCAUGCAGUGACUGAACAACUGCAUUUACACCACCACCUCUAAAGGUAUAGUAUCAUAGCAAGUCACCUGUCAGGUAAGUCAGUUACUAAUUGCUGCAGAUGUGCUCAAUAGUGCUUGAACUUCCUCUGCUUCCUUCUCCUGGUGUCAGACAGACAGACUUUGCAGUGCCUCCGUGUGUGACCUUGAGCAGCAGCUUGAAGGACUUUGCAGGGAAAAUGCCGUGCAGUGAGGAUUGUCCGCAGCAGGACCCAGUGGAUGGGUGCCGAGGUGUUUGGUGCUCUUCCAGCAGCUCUCUCAUGAGGUUCUCUCUGUACUUUUGGUGAUCCAACUUCCCUGUGGCCAACAUGGUUGCUGUUUGGACAGUGGAAAGGACAUGGACAUCUCGUUUGCCAUGCCACUUUACUGCCAGCUGUUGACCAUUCUCCUUGAACUCCACCUCCGCUCUCUGCAUCUUCCUGUGACUGUGCCACAGGCCCCUGUGCUGUUGGAGAGCUGAUGCUGGAAGAGUGUGCGACAGCUGUACCAAUUGUCCACAUACAAAAUUUGUCCCUUGCAGAGAUGAGGAGCCAGCAUGGUCAUCACCACCGACCCAGACACCCCAAGCCCCUUAUAAUGUUGGAUGUCAGUGGUGGAUCCUGUGUCCACAACAUUAUAGUUUACAACUCCUGUCUUCAAGUCGCACAUGACAAAGAACUUGACCCCAAACUUGUGCCUUUUGGAAGGAAUAUAUUGAUGGAACGCCAGCCUAACUUUCCAUAACAUCAGGGACUCAUCAAUAGAUAGGUCCUUGUAUGACACAAAUACCCAACCAAAUGCUGAUGUCUAGCUAGUAAGAACAUCUCUUAUUUUGUAUAAUGGGUCAUUUAGGUUGGCAGUAGCAUUGUUGAUGAAAUGCAGGCAUCACAAUAGAACUAGGAAGCAGUCUUGGGAAAAGAGGGUGGCAAAGAACAGAGUGGCAAACAGAAUAUGUGCUCCAGUAUUCUCUUAAAGAGUUCUUCUUUACUAUCCCCAUGAGAAGGACUGUCACCAGGAAGGUUUACAUUUCACUAAUUGUGGUUGUCACUCAUUUAGCGAGUUUUCUCCCCACUCCUUGCUCUCUCUCUCUUCUCCUAUAGCUCCAAGGCAUAGUGAUUGGUCUCCUCUACUAUGUGUCCCACCAGCUCCUCUGUCAGAAACAACUUGAAGCACUCUGCCUCAGAUGGAAAUGGCAAGGGGUGUUGCACUCCCGACCGGGACUCAUCAAAGCACACAGCAGGGCCAGGAGGGGUGAAAUGGCUGGCGGCCUUCCAGCUACCACAGAACUCCUGUACUUCAUCGACUUUCGCUCUGCCUCCAUCACCACCAGCAUCUUCAAAAGGGACCUGGGACUUCGUCAGUGGACAAGGGGUCCUCAGAUUCAGGGUUCUCAAUGGCUACAAGGUUGGGGGCAGAUCCUCACUGUCACUGUCAGACUUUCAUGCUCACUCACUGUCAGUAUUUUUUUUUUUGCCAGAAUUUCUUCAUUUGUGAGCUGUCUCCUUUUGAUAGACUUUGCUAAUGCUUCAUCUUAG